rnacentral:rRNA from 1 species
GCUUGUCUCAAAGAUUAAGCCAUGCAUGUCUAAGUAUAAGCUUUUAUACGGUGAAACUGCGAAUGGCUCAUUAAAACAGUUAUAGUUUAUUUGAUGGUCGCUCACUACAUGGAUAACCGUGGUAAUUCUAGAGCUAAUACAUGCAUUAAACCCCGACUUCUGGAAGGGGUGUAUUUAUUAGAUGGAAACCAAUGCGGGGUAACCCGGAAUAUGGUGAUUCAUAAUAACUUUCGGAUCGAUUUAUCGAUGCAUCAUUCAAGUUUCUGCCCUAUCAGCUUUGGAUGGUAGGGUAUUGGCCUACCAUGGCUUUAACGGGUAACGGAGAAUUAGGGUUCGAUUCCGGAGAGGGAGCCUGAGAAAUGGCUACCACAUCCAAGGAAGGCAGCAGG